rnacentral:rRNA from 1 species
AUUGAACGCUGGCGGCAGGCCUAACACAUGCAAGUCGAACGAGGGGCGGACGUGUGAGUAAUGUCUGGGAAACUGCCUGAUGGAGGGGGAUAACUACUGGAAACGGUCGCUAAUACCGCAUACCCUCAGAUGUGCCCAGAUGGGAUUAGCUUGGGGGUGGGGUAACGGCUCACCAAGGCGACGAUCCCUAGCUGGUCUGAGAGGAUGACCAGCCACACUGGAACUGAGACACGGUCCAGACUCCUACGGGAGGCAGCAGUGGGGAAUAUUGGACAAUGGGCGCAAGCCUGAUGCAGCCAUGCCGCGUGUGUGAAGAAGGCCUUCGGGUUGUAAAGUACUUUCAGCAGGGAAGCGGUACUUGCAGAAGAAGCACCGGCUAACUACGUGCCAGCAGCCGCGGUAAUAC